UACGUAGGGGGCUAGCGUUGUCCGGAAUCAUUGGGCGUAAAGAGCGUGUAGGCGGCCCGGUAAGUCCGCUGUGAAAGUCGGGGGCUCAACCCUCGAAAGCCGGUGGAUACUGUCGGGCUAGAGUGCGGAAGAGGCGAGUGGAAUUCCUGGUGUAGCGGUGAAAUGCGCAGAUAUCUGGAGGAAUACCGGUGGCGAAGGCGGCAUCCUGGACCGACAUUGACGCUGAGGAGCGGAAGCUAGGGGAGCAAACGGG
rnacentral:rRNA from 1 species